rnacentral:lncRNA from 1 species
CAGGGUCCUUCAAAUAGUGUCAGAGGCAUCCUAGAGUUUGGCCCGGUCCAAAAGAAUCAAAACAGAGCAGAAACAGGGCCAUUUCCACGCGAAGUCACGCCCAAGCGUCGCAGGGAGGACUCUCGGGCGAGAAUUGAAGGUCAUGUAAGGCCUGGGCGUCAGAUUUGGACGACCAAGCUACAAAGUUCCACCGCCCGGGCGUCGAGGGCCACCACCCGG